rnacentral:rRNA from 1 species
UACGAAGGGGGCUAGCGUUGUUCGGAAUCACUGGGCGUAAAGCGCACGUAGGCGGAUCUUUAAGUCAGGGGUGAAAUCCCGAGGCUCAACCUCGGAACUGCCUUUGAUACUGGGGAUCUCGGAGUCCGGGAGAGGUGAGUGGAACUGCGAGUGUAGAAGGUGAAAUUCGUAGAUAUUCGCAAGAACACCAGUGGCGAAGGCGGCUCACUGGCCCGGAACUGACGCUGAGGUGCGAAAGCGUGGGGAGCAAACAGG